GACGAACGCUGGCGGCGUGCUUAACACAUGCAAGUCGAACGGAAAGGCCCUGCUUUUGUGGGGUGCUCGAGUGGCGAACGGGUGAGUAACACGUGAGUAACCUGCCCUUGACUUUGGGAUAACUUCAGGAAACUGGGGCUAAUACCGGAUAGGAGCUCCUGCUGCAUGGUGGGGGUUGGAAAGUUUCGGCGGUUGGGGAUGGACUCGCGGCUUAUCAGCUUGUUGGUGGGGUAGUGGCUUACCAAGGCUUUGACGGGUAGCCGGCCUGAGAGGGUGACCGGCCACAUUGGGACUGAGAUACGGCCCAGACUCCUACGGGAGGCAGCAGUGGGGAAUAUUGCGCAAUGGGCGGAAGCCUGAUGCAGCAACGCCGCGUGCGGGAUGACGGCCUUCGGGUUGUAAACCGCUUUCGCAUGUGACGAAGCGUGAGUGACGGUAAUGGGUAAAGAAGCACCGGCUAACUACGUG
rnacentral:rRNA from 1 species